GAUGAACGCUAGCGGCAGGCUUAACACAUGCAAGUCGAGGGGCAGCAUAAUGAAGUAGCAAUACUGAUUUGAUGGCGACCGGCGCACGGGUGCGUAACGCGUAUGUAACCUACCUUUAACAGGGGGAUAACACUGAGAAAUUGGUACUAAUACCCCAUAACACCUAAAGAGGCAUCUUUUUAGGUUGAAAGUUCCGGCGGUUAGAGAUGGACAUGCGUUGUAUUAGCUAGAUGGUGAGGUAACGGCUCACCAUGGCGACGAUACAUAGGGGGACUGAGAGGUUAACCCCCCACACUGGUACUGAGACACGGACCAGACUCCUACGGGAGGCAGCAGUGAGGAAUAUUGGUCAAUGGACGCAAGUCUGAACCAGCCAUGCCGCGUGCAGGACGACGGCUCUAUGAGUUGUAAACUGCUUUUGUACAAGGGUAAACCUCGGUACGAGUACCGAGUUGAAAGUACUGUACGAAUAAGGAUCGGCUAACUCCGUGCCAGCAGCCGCGGUAAAAC
rnacentral:rRNA from 1 species